rnacentral:rRNA from 1 species
GUGAAGUGGAUGAUCCUAUGCUGCCGAGAAAAGCCUCUAGUGAGUGUUGUGGCGGCCCGUACCCUAAACCGACUCAGGUGGUCAGGUAGAGAAUACCAAGGCGAUCGGGUGAACUGUGGUUAAGGAACUCGGCAAAUUGCCCCCGUAACUUCGGGAGAAGGGGGACCUCUGCUGGUGAUGGGCUUUACGUUCUGAGCUGGUGGGGGUCGCAGUGGCCAGGGGGAAGCGACUGUUUACUAAAAACACAGGUCCGUGCGAAGUCGUAAGACGAUGUAUACGGACUGACGCCUGCCCGGUGCCGGAACGUUAAGGGGACCGCUUAGCCAGCUUCGGUUGGCGAAGGUGAGAACUUAAGCGCCGGUAAACGGCGGUGGUAACUAUAACCAUCCUAAGUUAGCGAAAUUCCUUGUCGGGUAAGUUCCGACCUGCACGAAUGGCGUAACGACUUCCCCGCUGUCUCAACCACAGACCCGGCGAAAUUGCACUACGAGUAAAGAUGCUCGUUUCGCGCAGCAGGACGGAAAGACCCCGGGACCUUCACUACAGCUUGACAUUGGCGUUUGGAACGUCUUGUGUAGGAUAGGUGGGAGACUAGGAAGCUGUCACGCUAGUGAUGGUGGAGUCAUUGGUGAAAUACCACUCUGGUCGUUUUGAACGUCUAACUCUGGUCCGUGAUCCGGAUCGGGGACAGUGUCUGGUGGGUAGUUUAACUGGGGCGGUUGCCUCCUAAAGAGUAACGGAGGCGCCCAAAGGUUCCCUCAGCCUGGUUGGCAAUCAGGUGUUGAGUGUAAGUGCACAAGGGAGCUUGACUGUGAGACUGACAGGUCGAGCAGGAGCGAAAGCUGGGACUAGUGAUCCGGCAUCGGCGUGUGGAAGCGGUGUCGCUCAACGGCUAAAAGGUACCCCGGGGAUAACAGGCUGAUCUUCCCCAAGAGUCCAUAUCGACGGGAUGGUUUGGCACCUCGAUGUCGGCUCGUCGCAUCCUGGGGCUGGAGUAAGUCCCAAGGGUUGGGCUGUUCGCCCAUUAAAGCGGUACGCGAGCUGGGUUUAGAACGUCGCGAGACAGUUCGGUCCCUAUCCGCUGCGCGCGCAGGAGACUUGAAGGGGGCUGUCCCUAGUACGAGAGGACCGGGACGGACGAACCUCUGGUGUGCCAGUUGUACCGCCAGGUGCACGGCUGGUUGGCUACGUUCGGAAGGGAUAACCGCUGAAAGCAUCUAAGCGGGAAGCUCGCCUUGAGAUGAGGUCUCCCACCCCGUGAGGGGGUAAGGCUCCCGGUAGAUCACCGGGUUGAUAGGCCGGAGGUGGAAGCACGGUAACGUGUGGAGCUGACCGGUACUAAUAGGCCGAGGACUUGACC